CCCCACUAUGCUUAGUCGUAACCCUAGACACCCCCCCCCAACAAAUUGUCCGCCAGAGAAUUACAAACGAAAAAUUCAAAACUCAAAGGACUUGACGGUGCCCCACAUCAACCUAGAGGAGCCUGUCCUAUAAUCGAUGCCCCCCGAAAAACCUCUCCCCCCCUUGCCUUCCCCUUUAAAUAGGGACCUCAGCCUAUAUACCGCCGUCGCCAGCCCACCUUAUGAAAGCCCACAAGUGAGCACAACGGAACCUUUUCCCCCACGUCAGGUCAAGGUGUAGCACAUGGAUGGGACUAGAGAUGGGCUACAUUUUCUAAAAAGAAAACACCAACCCUGCCCUGAAAAAGCAGCCCCCGGUGGAUUUAGCAGUAAGUUGGGUCAGACUGCCCAGCUGAAGCCUGCCCUGGGACGCGUACACAC
rnacentral:rRNA from 1 species